rnacentral:rRNA from 1 species
UGAGCCUUGAUGUGUAGGAUAGGUGGGAGGCUUUGAAGUGUGGACGCCAGUCUGCAUGGAGCCGACCUUGAAAUACCACCCUUUAAUGUUUGAUGUUCUAACGUGGACCCGUGAUCCGGGUUGCGGACAGUGUCUGGUGGGUAGUUUGACUGGGGCGGUCUCCUCCUAAAGAGUAACGGAGGAGCACGAAGGUUGGCUAAUCCUGGUCGGACAUCAGGAGGUUAGUGCAAUGGCAUAAGCCAGCUUGACUGCGAGCGUGACGGCGCGAGCAGGUGCGAAAGCAGGUCAUAGUGAUCCGGUGGUUCUGAAUGGAAGGGCCAUCGCUCAACGGAUAAAAGGUACUCCGGGGAUAACAGGCUGAUACCGCCCAAGAGUUCAUAUCGACGGCGGUGUUUGGCACCUCGAUGUCGGCUCAUCACAUCCUGGGGCUGAAGUAGGUCCCAAGGGUAUGGCUGUUCGCCAUUUAAAGUGGUACGCGAGCUGGGUUUAGAACGUCGUGAGACAGUUCGGUCCCUAUCUGCCGUGGGCGCUGGAGAACUGAGGGGGGCUGCUCCUAGUACGAGAGGACCGGAGUGGACGCAUCACUGGUGUUCGGGUUGUCAUGCCAAUGGCACUGCCCGGUAGCUAAAUGCGGAAGAGAUAAGUGCUGAAAGCAUCUAAGCACGAAACUUGCCCCGA